rnacentral:rRNA from 1 species
UACGAAGGGGGCUAGCGUUGCUCGGAAUGACUGGGCGUAAAGGGCGCGUAGGCGGUUCGUACAGUUGGAUGUGAAAUUCCCGGGCUCAACCUGGGGGCUGCAUUCAAUACGUGCGGGCUUGAGUUCGGAAGAGGGUCGUGGAAUUCCCAGUGUAGAGGUGAAAUUCGUAGAUAUUGGGAAGAACACCGGUGGCGAAGGCGGCGACCUGGUCCUUGACUGACGCUGAGGCGCGAAAGCGUGGGGAGCGAACAGG